GCGCUCUUCGUUUGACUUCCAACAAAAGAGUCGGACAUAAUCGGGUAUUUUGCAUCACAAUGUUGUGUAACACUUGUAAUUAAGGUCUCGUGGAGACGUCUGCUUACUGAUCAUGUUGUUGAGGGCCUUAUAUCCACACGCGACCACACAUUGUUAUUCAGAUGUCCUUAGCUAAUUUUCUUUACUGCCUUCUGUCACAGUUUGUUCAUUAUAAGCUUGGGUAGGGAUUAUUUAUCUAUAUUCAACGGUUUCUUUCACACUGGCAGCUGCAAACUUUCUUGCCACAACUACACAACAGAACGUGGGCUUAAAAAAAGAUUCUGUCCGCUUAUAAGCUCGUCAAUUGACCAAAAGAGCUUCUGAGAGACAGCUGCGUUGAAUCGAUGCAUGAAAAGAAAUAAUGUCUUGGAAAUAUUGUUCUAUCAUAAUGUUAUAAAGCAUUCAUAUGAAACACAGCCAAUAUAAAAGAGCGACCUAUAGAUUUCAGGGCAAAAAAGAAAAAAGCAAGAAGAAAGAAGGGAAAUGAAAAGGGAAAAAAAUGAAAAAAAUUACACUGAGAGAAAGAAAGCGUUUCGGGUGAAAAAAAACCCCCAGUGAGUGGGCCAUGUUUUGGUCGUAUUCUGCAGCUGUUUCCGUGUUCACUUGAUGAUGGUUGCAUUCCCUAUAAUUAAACAUAAUUUUCUGCAACCUUUAAACAGCAGUCUUCAGAAAAAAUAUCCAGAUGACCAGCUACUUUGAGUUCGUCUUUGUUGCUCAGAUCUCUCACGUCAGUGAAAGUUAGAAAAAAAAAAGAGAUAUAAAUAAAAAGAACACUUCCCUCGCCGCACUGUGGGAGUUGCGCUUUGUAGAAAGCUAUUUUUCCUACUGGCUUUUUUCUUUCCUUUAAUGAAACUAAUUUGUUUAACAUAUUCUUUUCUUUUCUUUUGACAUAUUCUUUUAUAUUCUUAUAACCAUUUUAAAGCUUCUGUGUAUUUCAAUUGAGUUUACCCGGCGAUAAAUAUUGAAUAAUAGCGCGAGAAAAACGCGCCAGAAGUUCUAGAUUUUCCCCUCAAAUCAAACUGCGCGCUUUUUACGCAGAGCAAAACUUUCUUGUAUUCAGCGCCCUCUUGCGACGCUGGAGCUUGUUCCAUUAUGCGACAGAGGCGGAUAAUAGCCACGGAGAAUCGCCUUUGUUGCACAGCGCUUCAGCGGAAUACUGUGCUUGUACAAUAGUGAAAAUCGAUUCAAAUAUCGCAAUAGACUUAUUUUGUUGUAAUGAAAACUUAACUAUUUAAUAAUCAUGAUUUUUUAUUAACUUUAAUGGUGAAACAAAAUAAUUAAAUGCCUAAUUACAUUGCACUGCAUAUACAUCGCCACGGCGAAUUCUUCCCUCGGGAUAGAGAAGAGAACAUUGUGAAGUGGACUAAAUGAAAGAUAUACAGUGUAUGGGCGUUUCAGAGAUACGUCCUUCUGUUAAAAUAUCAGCUUAAACGCUAACAAAUGGCUCAACCAUGGCUCUGACAGACGGUUAAUUACUAAAAGAUAAUACUCAGUGAAUAAAUAAUUCGGUUCAGGAAUACCUGCUUACCUCAAAAUCACUCCUAACUAUUUUAUUGCUUUUCCUAGUAGAACACUUGUGAUGUAUUUUCCCUAUCGAUGACCAAUACAGCAAUUGAGAAGAGAACAGUCAAAUGUAUCAAUCCCAUGACUAGAAUCUCAAUGGUUCUUCGCGAAAGUCAAGCAAGAUUGGAUUAGGAUAUAAAAUGAAUAAAUGCUACAUGGUAUUUUAUCCGUCAUUAAACUGCGGCCAAGCUGGGGCACAACCUUGAAGAAUUUGUUGUUGAAUGAAUCCACACAGCCACACUUGAGCCUGUAUGACUCUAUUGGAUAUUUAGCUUCUUAACGCGGCAUGCCACUUUAUUCAUUCGUUUGAAUUUAUUUCCCGAAAAAAUAUUGUGAUAUACCAUCCAGUAACGCUCGUUUCAAGGGGUAUGGAUUAUUGAUCACUCUGAGGGUGGAUGUCUAAGCGAUGAAUGCAUAAGAAUAGCGGAAUACAUGUUUCUAUUGUUAAGAAUAAUUGUCCACCCUAUAGUAUAUUGAAUCGCAACGCAGUCAAGCUAGACCAGUGGUUCUCAACUAUUGUCCAUAUAAGAUUUUUGGGGUCUACACAAGCAAAGUAGUAAUUUUGGGAUUCUCAUUAGUAUUUUAAGUGUCCAUGAAAGCAAUUUUGCUUUAGGUGUAUUCAUUGCAAGAAACAACUAGGUUUUUUUUUCUCUAACAUUUUACAUUUCUAUCUUUGAGGACAAAUGUGUAGCAAUAAUCUAAUGUAAACUUGGAGUGGGAAAUCCUAUUGAAAACUUUUCCCAUUUAAUAAGAUCAUAGUGGCAGAAAAAUUUAAAAACUAUGGCAGUAAACAACCUUUGUUUAUGGGUAUUGGAAAAUUAGAUAUACAUCCAUGGAAUAUGAUGAUCUGUAUCACAUAAUGAAACGACAAAAAUGGAAGUUGCCAAGUAGUUUAAAUUAAUUUCUUUGAUCGAGUAAUACUUUGAUCCUCAGUAAUACUUCAAUAAUUUUUGGCACAAAGGCAGCGAUUUGGGGGAGGGUGUAAGUCGAUGAUAUCAACGUCAGUGCUCAAUUGGUACUUAUAUAAUAGGCCACGAAAGGAUGAAAGGUAAAGUUGACCCUGACGGUACUCACUACUUUAUGUUAGUUUCAAAUUUUGUCACAAGGCCAUCGAUUCCAUUGUUCAACCGAUACUUAUUUCAUCGACGCCGAUUUGAUGGAAGACAAAGUCGACCCUGGAGGUACUCACUACUCAAAUAUUAAGAAUAAGAAUGAACAACAUAGAUAACAAAUAUCCGGCGUAUUUUUUCUGACUAGUCUGAUUUACUCUGCUUUUAUAACAAGACAAGUAUGAUGUUGUGAAUCACCCGAGUUAAUAGUUUAAUAUAAACACAUCACAGCCAAUAGCCAAAAAUUCUAGAGUUAUGGUUUAGUGAGUUAUUUCGAACACUACGAGAUCAGAUUUGCUUGAGUAUGUUAUUAAUAUGAAUUUAGAAAACCUACAUUUCAGUCUUUGAGGACAAAUGUAUGACAAUAAUCUGAAGUGAUCAAAUUGGAAAAUUAGAUAUAUAUCCAUAGGAUGUGACGAUCUGUAUCACACAAUGAAACGAGGAAAAUGGAAGCUGUAAGGUAAUUUAAAAUAAUUUCUUUGAUCAAGUCAGUUCCUUGACCUAAACGCAUAAGUUAAUGCCUCGUAAUAACCCCGUACGGCUGAAACUGGAAAACUAUUUCUGCAAAUAUUUUUCUAAAUAAUAGAAAAAUUUUUUACACCAACGUGGCUAGAAAAACUCAAGCAACAGAUUUACAACUCAUUAAUUCUAUGCCAAAAUAUGUUCCUGAUAUUCGGGUAGCCCUAGUAAUAGCAAAAAAUUAUUAAUACUUAAACGAAAAUUGUUCAAGAUUUAUUUUUUCGUACUCUAAAUUUCCGAAUAAAUUGUUACA